CUGGCCAUGGCCUCUUGUGGCCCGUCGUAAGCAUCUGAUCCAUGAUAUGAUUACGUUGCUGAGUCGGUGUCCGACAAUACCAACAUGCCCAUGGACACGGAGGAGCAGCAAUCUAGUGCCUCAGGUCUGAGAUGGGCACAACGCCCACCAACAUUCCUCACCGACUGUCUAUGUGCCGCGGCUCGCAUCAUCUGCUCCCACUCAUCGGCGGUUCAUUUUGGCGUGACUUGGCCAUUCCGUCCCUGGCAGUGAUGCUGCUAAGAUGGCCACGGUCUCCUGUCGCCAGUUGUAAGCAGCUGCUCCAUGAUAUGAUCACGCUGCCGAGUUGGUGUCCGAGAAUGCCGACACUCCCAUGUACACGGAGGAGCAGCAAUCUGGUGCCUCAGAUCUGAGAUGGGCACACCAUGGAUCCCUGGGCCGAUAUUGCAGCUAACCAGUAACCAUACAUGCUAUUUGGGUCAUCUACGCCUAUGAGUAAUGUUGAUCCUGUGAAAAUGCUUAUAGAUUCCGGAAAGCUGAAAAUCACCGUGUGCUCCUAUUUGGGAGGGAAGAUCAGUCCAUGAUGGGGACUCGUGGAGCUCCAAGUGUGGUCCUGGUGGCGGGCGGGGAUGAGGAAGGCGGCGUGAUGGUGGGUCUCGGCAACGGCAGGUGACCCUGGCAUCACAUGAAUGACAGUGGGGAGCCGCAGUGGAAGAGCCUAUGAUCGCCUGUCGGGCUGCUGCUACAGGUGUCAAUGCGGAGCAAAAACUGUUGUCUUUCCCGACCUGCAACUCCAACCUGCCACCGGCCACGUCCCCGACCUGCUACGGGCCUUCUCCUUUACGACGACAACUCUUGCCACAACACCAGGGGUAGCAAGGUCUGUCUCGUCCACACCAACCAAGACGGCGACGAUGACACACAGCUUUGAGUUCCGGAAUACACUUAAUGUUAAGAGCCAGCUCAGUGCAAUCGUCCGAAAGAAAUCUGGAAGGUAAACUGUCAUCUCACCAUACCUUGUGACUAGCUGUAGAUGGACAUGCUUGCAACUAGUAUAGUUAUUUGUGUUGCACUGCUGCUUGCUCUUAGAUAGUGGGGGAAAGUAUAAUCACAGGUAGAUAUCGCCAUGGGAAAUCUGCAACCCUUAGAUACUAGAAUCUACCGGUCAAUACAGAAGAUGUUGAAAUAUGUAGAAGGGAAUAUGAAAAAGGAAGCUCUUGAUGAAACUACUAUAAUAGCUGGAGCUCUGUUUUCAGUGAAAAGAAAGCUAAAGAUGCUAUGCCACUGUUUUGUGAAAAUUUGUGAUUGAUAUAUAUGCGAAGCUCGAUAGGUAUUGGAUUGUGUGGUGUGAACAAGAAUUCCAUUAAACAUUGGCUACAAAUAUGCAUCUCUUUUUUGUUGACAUGAAUUU